AGAGGACCUUCAAAAGGAAGGCAAAAGAGGAGCGGAACAUGACGGAGCUCGAUGGUUACCAGAGAGAUUGGUUCAUCAUGUGGAUCAUCCUCACAAGUCUACAUCCAAUAUCAUGGGACAGUAACCUCCAAAAUCAUUACCUUUGUGUGGAGAAGAAA